rnacentral:rRNA from 1 species
UUUGAUCCUGGCUCAGAACGUACGCUGGCGGCACGCCUAACACAUGCAAGUCGAACGAAGUAGCAAUACUUAGUGGCAGACGGGUGAGUAACAUGUAGGUAUCUGCCCUUUGGCCUGGAAUAACACGAGGAAACUUGUGCUAAUACCGGAUAAGUCUUUACGGAGAAAGCUUUAUGCACCAUUGGAUGAGCCUGCACUUGAUUAGUUUGUUGGUGGGGUAAUGGCCUACCAAGACUGUGAUCAAUAGCUGAUUUGAGAGGAUGAUCAGCCACAUUGGGACUGAGACACGGCCCAAACUCCUACGGGAGGCAGCAGUAGGGAAUCUUGCACAAUGGAGGAAACUCUGAUGCAGCGAUGCCGCGUGAGUGAAGAAGGCCCUUGGGUUGUAAAGCUCUUUCGUCGGGGAAGAAAAUGACUGUACCCGAAUAAGAAGGUCCGGCUAACUUCGUGCCAGCAGCCGCGGUAAUACGAAGGGACCUAGCGUAGUUCGGAAUUACUGGGCUUAAAGAGUUCGUAGGUGGUUGAAAAAGUUAGUGGUGAAAUCCCAGAGCUUAACUCUGGAACUGCCAUUAAAACUUUUCAGCUAGAGUAUGAUAGAGGAAAGCAGAAUUUCUAGUGUAGAGGUGAAAUUCGUAGAUAUUAGAAAGAAUACCAAUUGCGAGGGCAGCUUUCUGGAUCAUUACUGACACUGAGGAACGAAAGCAUGGGUAGCGAAGAGGAUUAGAUACCCUCGUAGUCCAUGCCGUAAACGAUGUGUGUUAGACGUUGGAAAUUUAUUUUCAGUGUCGCAGGGAAACCGAUAAACACACCGCCUGGGGAGUACGGCCGCAAGGUUAAAACUCAAAUGAAUUGACGGGGACCCGCACAAGUAGUGGAGCAUGUGGUUUAAUUCGAAGAUACGCGCAGAACCUUACCAACACUUGACAUGUUCGUCGCGACUCUAAGAGAUUAGAGUUUUCGGUUCGGCCGGACGAAACACAGGUGCUGCAUGGCUGUCGUCAGCUCGUGUCGUGAGAUGUUGGGUUAAGUCCCGCAACGAGCGCAACCCUCACUUUUAGUUGCCAUCAUUAAGUUGGGCACUCUGAAAGAACUGCCAGUGAUAAGCUGGAGGAAGGUGGGGAUGACGUCAAGUCCUCAUGGCCCUUACGUGUUGGGCUACACACGUGCUACAAUGGUAUCUACAACAGGAAGCAAGACUGCGAAGUUAAGCAAAUCCCUAAAAGAUACCUCAGUUCGGAUUGCACUCUGCAACUCGAGUGCAUGAAGCUGGAAUUACUAGUAAUCGUGGAUCAGCGUGCCACGGUGAAUGCGUUCCCGGGUCUUGUACACACCGCCCGUCACACCAUGGGAGUUGGUUCUACCUUAAGGCAAGGUUUAAAACCCUUGACCACGGUAUAGUCAGCGACUGGGGUGAAGUCGUAAC